rnacentral:lncRNA from 1 species
UUUUUUUUUUUAGUAGAGACGGGUUUCACCCAUACUGGUCAGGCUGGUCUGAAAUUCCUGACCUUGUGAUCUGCCCACCUCAGACUUCCAAAGUGCUGGGAUUACAGGCGUGAGCCACCACACCUGGCUAAUCCUAGUAUUUUUAUACCACUGUUAGGAAGAGAAAGAAUUCUGUUUCCUCUGGGAAUCUAACAGACCACUAUGAGGGCCCUUAGAAUAAAGCCAACACAGAGGUAUGCAAACAUAACAAUGGAGAGGGCUGGGUGUGAUGACUCACACCUGUAAUCCCACCACUUUGGGAGGCUGAGGCAGGCACAUCACCUGAAGUCAGGAGACCAGCCUGGCCAACAAGGUGAAACCCCAUCUCUACUAGAAAUACAAAAAUUAGCUGGGUGUGGUGGCGGGCGCCUGUAAUCUCAGCUACUUGGUAGGCUUGGCUCCAGAAGGAGCCAAGAUUGCACCAUUGCACUUUAGCCUGGGUGACAAGAGUAAAGCUCUGUUUCAACAACAACAAAGAAUGGAGAGUUGCUGAUGACAGCUGAACCUAGCUCCAGAAACCCCUGAAAAUCUAUUUUUCAGUUACUUGAGCUAAUAAGUACCCCCUCUCCAUCUUUUUUUUUCUUUUCUUUUCUUUUUCUUUUGCCUUUGUUGUGGGUCUCCCUGAAGAUCCAGUCUCCACUAGGAUUUUCAGGGCAGGCAAAAACUCCAGCCUCACAUAUACACAUAUUCUCAGGUUUCAGAAACAUGGGCAGCCCAGGGCCAAUCAGGGAUGUGAGAAUGGAUCCAAGGAGCACCCCCUCCCCAACACCCUCACAGCCCCUCCAUACUGAUGCUGACGAAUUGAAUGUUGGCUUGGUCCGAGCCUAGGGGUUAGUGGCUGUGCGUGUGAAGAGGGCGUAAUCCUGGGCUGCAGACACAUUGGCAAUGGUCAGGAGGCUGCUGUGGACACCACCCUGGUGGUAUGUGUGCUCUGUGUACCUAGAGAGAAGGUAGGGCACCACUCAUCCUUUCAUUCACCCCACCACUUAUGCUUGGAAUCAUCUAUACAGACAUCCAUUCAUUUAACCAUCUGCCUAUCUAUCCAUUCAUCCAUUAAUCUUUUCAUCCACUCAUCCAUUCACUCACUCAUUCCUCCAUGCAUUAAUCUUCCUUCUCUGCACCCUUCUCUGCAGGGACUCAGGGAGGGGAAAUGAGGCUGGAGGUCCAGACCUGGGGCUGGAGUGCUGCCUGGCUGGGCC